GCUUGUCUCAAAGAUUAAGCCAUGCAUGUCUAAGUAUAAACGACUUUAUACUGUGAAACUGCGAAUGGCUCAUUAUAUCAGUUAUAGUUUAUUUGAUGGUCCUUGCUACUUGGAUAACCGUAGUAAUUCUAGAGCUAAUACAUGCAUUAAACCCCGACUUCUGGAAGGGGUGUAUUUAUUAGACUUAAGCCAAUAUUCCUUGUGUCUAUUGCGAUGAUUCAUAAUAACUGAUCGAAUCUCAAAUUUGAGAUAAAUCAUUCAAGUUUCUGCCCUAUCAGCUUUCGAUGGUAGUGUAUUGGACUACCAUGGCAGUAACGGGUAACGAAGAAUUAGGGUUCGAUUUCGGAGAGGGAGCAUGAGAAACGGCUACCACAUCUAAGGAAGGCAGCAGG
rnacentral:rRNA from 1 species